UAUACAAAAAAACAAAAAAAAACAAAGUGGAUGAGUUUUUUUUUUUUAACAGCAUACCCAUUUUUAAUGACCGUUAAAUGGUCAUGUGAAUAGUCCCAUGGUCUUUAAUUGGCUCUGAAAACAGCCAUGUGACUGUGUGUAAAUGAAGCCCAAAUGUGCAUUAAAAUCUGCAUCAAAUCCGACUGUUAUCAUUGCGGCUUUUAGUCCAGACUCAGUUGCAGUUUUCACCCAUUGCAUGGCGUUCAACAACAUUGGACUGUUACGGAAUUUCAGCGCAUAUUCUGCAACAAGCAUUUGAUGUGCGAACUCACUCUUAUAGGCCUCCGGCACACGCCCGUAUCCAAAAAUAAAGUCGUGUGCAUGAUGAGGCCUUAGGUCCAGGAUACACGCUCCAUGCGAUGGUCGCAUUUCCUGGACCGAACAAUGCUUCUGUGACCCAAACUUACAGCAUCAUAAUGAUUAACGAUGCCGAGUGCUCCUGCCUGACUAUGGCUCCACUGUACUGUACUCAAGGAGUCAUUUCAGUUUAGUAGAGUAGAUCUGUGGUCAGGCAGGAUUUGUGCCUGGCAAUUUCUCUGCAUAUUUGCUGGAUCUCUGCCAGACCCCUUUAUAGUUAAAGGGACAGGCGGGGCAUUCCAGUUGCAUCCGGCAAUGCUGGACGCGGAGAAUUACAGCCUUCUGGAAUAACUGCCGCAGAUGUGAGAUUAGCCUUAACCUUCCAGACACUUCUUCAGAGGGCACUGGCACAAAUUAAUAUUUUUUUUGCAGCAGUUUUUGAAGCCAAGAAUCAGGAUGUUACCGAUGACUAGUAAGGAGCGAAGCAAGCUUCAGAUGCUACCUCCGAAGUCGCUUUGUUCAGAACUUGAGAUUAGCAGUGUAUGGAGAUCGGUCUCCGUUCAGUAUUAUAACGGAUGGGCUCAGAUGAGAUGAGGUCAGAGGUACCAGUCAGAACCGAAGCAGAGUUCGGUUCCAAGUUUUAAAGUGAUUAUCCACUGUAAAAAUCAACUACAGAAGUUAUUCAACUAAGUCUCGCACCUCAUCGGAGCCCAUACAUUUUAGUACUGGACGGAGACUGAUCUCCGUAUUAAUUAGCAUUCAUUUUGAACAAAAUGACAUCGGAUGCAGCAUCCAAAGCUUGCUUCGCUCAUCACUACUGAUGACCUGUCUUCAGGAUAGGUCAUCAUUAUGAAAUUAGUGGGGGUUUGACCCCCCCCCCCCCCCCCAAUGAAAAAUGCACCACAUGUAAAAUAUAAUGCUCAAAAAUCAGUACAGCUUUGAGCAUAACAUUUAGCGGAUCAAGCUGUGGGCAGCAUUGUAAAGAGCUAAGCAGAUUUAUAUAUAGCUUUGUGGGAAAGCGUUCAGAAUAAGCACUAUUUUAUUUAAGGCAUUAUCCCAAAAAAGUAUUCAUGUGCCACCAAGACAGCCUUUUAAAAGUAUUAUUGCAAUAUACAUGCAAUAAGAACAUUCUCCUCUCCGAUAGCACCCCCGGCUUAGCUUCCCUGGCAUAGGGAUUCCAUUGAGAUGCGGCCUGAAAAGCUCUCUCUAGAAAAUAGAAAAGGAAAUUGGUGGAGGGGGGCAUACAUGCUAUAUGUAUCGUUGGUGAAAGUCCUCCAGGUGUGAGU